UUGUAUUCAUCCUGAAGAUGAUGUUCAAAGAAAUGCGAACAAAAGUGAGAGAGACAUGCACUUAGUUUUUUUUAGUAGGAAGUUGUGCGCGCAUAGACACGGUACCACACCAUUCAAGAUAAUUAACGGAAACUAGACAUAAACAUAGGCCAAGUUCAAAUCAAAAUAUGUAACUGUGAAGCCAAAUCAAACAAACGAAUAUGUUUAGCCAACCAAGCAGGAGAGCACUAACCAAACAAUGCUUCCCAGCUAGCUAGUACACUAGAACGUGACCAUCCAACACGCAUACACGCAUCAUGCAGGAAUAUAUAUGAACAUUUUUCUGUAAGGGGGAAAUCAAGACCUUAUUAACCAAACAAUGCUUCCUAGCUAGCUAGUACACUAGAACGUGACCAUCCAACACGCAUACACGCAUCAUGCAGGAAUAUAUAUGAACAUUUUUCUGUAAGGGGGAAAUCAAGACCUUAUUUUGGAAGGACUAAAGAGCUCUUGAACGAGUUCUAGUCAUCAAGUAUAUAAAUCAAGCAAUGCUCCACUUCUAAUUUAUUCCAGUAUUUUUACUUCUAAUAUAUUCCAGUAUUUUUCGACAUGUGUGAUGCUUUUCUGGAAACAUGGAGUAGAAGUAUUUUUGGAAACAUGAAAAAGCAUGAUUUAUUAUCCUGGAGUCUAGACAAGAGUUGUUCUGAGCAUUGUUACUCGAGCGAAGAGGAUGACUAAAAGCGUUCAAUGGUUGAGAAUAUACCAACAGCUUCAAACUCUCCUAACGAAAGAUUCAAGUGCUGGAAAUCUAGAAGCGGGACAGAUUAUACAGUUACCUGAGUGGAGUAAGGGACAGUUUCCAACAUAGAAAUUUCAAACAAAUGAGUCCAUUUCCU
rnacentral:lncRNA from 1 species